rnacentral:rRNA from 1 species
UACAGAGGUCCCGAGCGUUGUUCGGAUUCACUGGGCGUAAAGGGUGCGUAGGUGGUUGGGUAAGUCUGAUGUGAAAUCUCCGGGCUCAACCCGGAAAUGGCAUUGGAUACUAUUCGGCUAGAGGUUUGGAGGGGGGACUGGAAUUCUCGGUGUAGCAGUGAAAUGCGUAGAUAUCGAGAGGAACACCUGCGGCGAAGGCGGGUUGCUGGGCUGACACUGACGCUGAAGCGCGAAAGCUAGGGGAGCGAACGGG